AUUUUCUACGCCAGGAAUAAAUGGACUCCAAACCUGCACAUUCACUCCAGAAUUUACGGAGCAUGUUUUAUUUAGUGACUCCAAAUGAAACAUCCUACGAGAGUGUAGAAAAUGUGCCAGAUUUUAUACGUGAGACACUUCCAUAUUUCAUCGCCUUGUUUUUGUUGGAGUGUUUCAUGUUGAGACUUCAAGGAAAGAAUUGGCCACGAAUCAAUGAUUGUGUAAAUAGCAUCUCACAUGCAGUGUUGAGCACGCUACUAAUGUACGACAGAUUAAUGCUAAAAAUUUGGUUUGAAAAGACAAA
rnacentral:sRNA from 1 species